AUUGAACGCUGGCGGCAGGCCUAACACAUGCAAGUCGAACGGUAACAGGAAGAAGCUUGCUUCUUUGCUGACGAGUGGCGGACGGGUGAGUAAUGUCUGGGAAACUGCCUGAUUGAGGGGGAUAACUACUGGAAACGGUAGCUCAUACCGCAUAACGUCGCAAGACCAAAGAGGGGGACCUUCGGGCCUCUUGCCCUCGGAUGUGCCCAGAUGGGAUUAGCUAGUAGGUGGGGUAACGGCUCACCUAGGCGACGAUCCCUAGCUGGUCUGAGAGGAUGACCAGCCACACUGGAACUGAGACACGGUCCAGACUCCUACGGGAGGCAGCAGUGGGGAAUAUUGCACAAUGGGCGCAAGCCUGAUGCAGCCAUGCCGCGUGUAUGAAGAAGGCCUUCGGGUUGUAAAGUACUUUCAGCGGGGAGGAAGGGAGUAAAGUUAAUACCUUUGCGCAUUGACGUUACCCGCAGAAGAAGCACCGGCUAACUCCGUG
rnacentral:rRNA from 1 species